rnacentral:lncRNA from 1 species
UUAUUCAUAGUCUAUUUCAAAAAUGAUAAAAAGUUCUUUAUAUUGGUAUGUAAAAAUUUUAAACAUUUCAAAUUUAUGAAAUUAUAUUCGUACAUCAAGUGUUUUGAUACAUCAAUAACAAAAACUGAAAUAUAUUGCGUUGAUUCAUUUUGUAAUUAUUCAAAAUUAUAUCAGAAACCUAAACAUAAUUAUAAAAAAAUGAACCUGUUAAGGGGAGACAAUUCUCGUAUAACUUUUUCGAAUUGGCACAUAAUACCACGGAAUGUCACUCAUCAUACAAAUGGCACAUCCAUAUAAUUAAUUAACUGCGCAAUCGCGCUCCACCUUCAAUGAUGAUUCUGAAUUAUAAAUAUAACCAAAAGUUGUUAAUCUAUAGAUAGUGAAGACUAAUGAAAGCUAACCCA